GACGAACGCUGGCGGCGUGCUUAACACAUGCAAGUCGAACGGAAAGGCCCUGCUUGUGUGGGGUGCUCGAGUGGCGAACGGGUGAGUAACACGUGAGUAACCUGCCCUUGACUUUGGGAUAACUUCAGGAAACUGGGGCUAAUACCGGAUAGGAGCUCCUGCUGCAUGGGGGGGGUUGGAAAGUUUCGGCGGUUGGGGAUGGACUCGCGGCUUAUCAGCUUGUUGGUGGGGUAGUGGCUUACCAAGGCUUUGACGGGUAGCCGGCCUGAGAGGGUGACCGGCCACAUUGGGACUGAGAUACGGCCCAGACUCCUACGGGAGGCAGCAGUGGGGAAUAUUGCACAAUGGGCGGCAGCCUGAUGCGGCAACGCCGCGUGCUGGAUGACGGCCUUCGGGUUGUAAACCGCUUUCGCCUGUGACGAAGCGUGAGUGACGGUAAUGGGUAAAGAAGCACCGGCUAACUACGUG
rnacentral:rRNA from 1 species